rnacentral:rRNA from 1 species
AACGAACGCUGGCGGCAUGCCUAACACAUGCAAGUCGAACGAGACCUUCGGGUCUAGUGGCGCACGGGUGCGUAACGCGUGGGAACCUGCCCUUAGGUUCGGAAUAACUCAGAGAAAUUUGAGCUAAUACCGGAUAAUGUCUUCGGACCAAAGAUUUAUCGCCUUUGGAUGGGCCCGCGUAGGAUUAACUUGUUGGUGGGGUAAUGGCCUACCAAGGCGACGAUCCUUAGCUGGUCUGAGAGGAUGAUCAGCCACACUGGGACUGAGACACGGCCCAGACUCCUACGGGAAGCAGCAGUGGGGAAUAUUGGACAAUGGGCGAAAGCCUGAUCCAGCAAUGCCGCGUGAGUGAUGAAGGCCUUAGGGUUGUAAAGCUCUUUUACCAGGGAUGAUAAUGACAGUACCUGGAGAAUAAGCUCCGGCUAACUCCGUG